rnacentral:rRNA from 1 species
GACGAACGCUGGCGGCGUGCUUAACACAUGCAAGUCGUACGGUAAGGCCCUUUCGGGGGUACACGAGUGGCGAACGGGUGAGUAACACGUGAGUAACCUGCCCACAACUUUGGGAUAACGCUAGGAAACUGGUGCUAAUUCUGGAUAUGUGCCCCUGCUGCAUGGUGGGGGUUGGAAAGCUCCGGCGGUUGUGGAUGGACUCGCGGCCUAUCAGCUUGUUGGUGGGGUAGUGGCCUACCAAGGCGGCGACGGGUAGCCGGCCUGAGAGGGUGACCGGCCACAUUGGGACUGAGAUACGGCCCAGACUCCUACGGGAGGCAGCAGUGGGGAAUAUUGCACAAUGGGCGCAAGCCUGAUGCAGCAACGCCGCGUGCGGGAUGACGGCCUUCGGGUUGUAAACCGCUUUCAGCAGGGACGAAGCUUUUUGUGACGGUACCUGCAGAAGAAGCACCGGCUAACUACGUG